GCAGCAACUUUUAGUAAUACUAGGUGCGCUUUCAUGCAAAGGUAGGCGGAUUUUGAAUAUUUUCUAGCUGUUUCAAGCUCAUUCAAAUACUUUUACAUCAAACAUGCAACACAUAGUUUUCAUUUUUUAGGAUGUUUUAGUUUUUAUGAAUUAUUUAGCACACUUUGCAUCAACAAGUGCUAAUAAUGCAGAAAGCUGCAAGACAGGGAACAGGAACAUUAUGAGUGUAUUUAUGAAAAUGCUUGGAAUAAAACCAACACUCCCUAAUCCUACAGGCUUUGAUCUAGC
rnacentral:misc_RNA from 1 species